GAUGAACGCUGGCGGCGUGCUUAACACAUGCAAGUCGAACGAUGAAGGGAGCUCGCUCCUGGAUUAGUGGCGAACGGGUGAGUAACACGUGAGUAACCUGCCCUUGACUCUGGGAUAAGCCUGGGAAACUGGGUCUAAUACCGGAUAUGACCUUCCAUCGCAUGGUGGUUGGUGGAAAGCUUUUGUGGUUUUGGAUGGACUCUCGGCCUAUCAGCUUGUUGGUGGGGUAAUGGCCUACCAAGGCGACGACGGGUAGCCGGCCUGAGAGGGUGACCGGCCACACUGGGACUGAGACACGGCCCAGACUCCUACUGGAGGCAGCAGUGGGGAAUAUUGCACAAUGGGCGGAAGCCUGAUGCAGCGACGCCGCGUGAGGGAUGACGGCCUUCGGGUUGUAAACCUCUUUCAGUAGGGAAGAAGCGUAAGUGACGGUACCUGCAGAAGAAGCGCCGGCUAACUACGUGCCAGCAGCCGCGGUAACAC
rnacentral:rRNA from 1 species